UCACUGCCUCAAGUGCUGUGGUAUUUGAUACAACCAGCAGAUGCCACAUCUGCCAGCCUACUACAAGCCCUCCAGGGAAAGAGCUCUAAAGAUUUAAACAACAACAGGUCUUUUUACUUCCCUGAUGAAGAGACUGACUGACUUUCAAGCCAGGAAGAGAGAACUGUGUGCAAUUUGAUGGGAUUCAGAACAUCAAAGGCUGUUGAGUUGGUGUUUGGAACAAUCUCUCAGAUUUCUCUUCUGUUUCUCUGGAGAACCUGACCAUCUCAGGGCACUCUCUGCAGCAGGCUCUCUUGCAUUCAGCAAGGUGAUCUCAAUUCAAGCAAUAGGUUGUUCAGUUCCAACCAAUGGACCCCUACAUGCAGGGGUGCCCGGCUGCAGACCAGACCAAAGACAUAAGCGACUUGCUCCAAAUGAAUGACUGGCCAGCAGAGGCUGUGAGGCUCUCUCAUUUUCCUCAGAGAGCAACCCUGAGGGAAUCCCAACCUGUGAUUAUCCAUGAGGCUGCAUCGGUGUCAAUCGGUUCUGUAGUUUACAACUGUAAUUACCCAAGGGGAUCAAAACUAACAAGAGGAACUCCUGAACCAUCACAGAACAUCAGUGACCUUGAAGGAGGCAGCAGUCAGCAAAGAGCAGCCUCUGUGUGGAUAGAGAGGAAGGCUGCAGUGCUGGCUGUAGGGUGUGGAUCUAAGGUCUACUAACCAGAAGUGAGUAGUCCUCUAAACUAAAGGAUGGGGCUUGGUUUUCCCUAUGCUCUUCCUUGAGCCACUGAUUGCAGCAUCAUUUGCUUCAUUCCCUUGAAGAUAAAGACUCUUGAAUGUAAUGUGUUGAGAGAGGCUCAGAUUACUUUCCAGCUCUCCAACUUACUACCUGCCUUUGGUAUUUAGUAACCUCUCUGUAACUGUUUAUUAAGCCAUCAAAUGAGAAUAAUAUUGCUGGUGUAAGUUUGUUAUAAAAAUUCAAUAAAAUAAAGCAUGUCAAAUGCC